rnacentral:rRNA from 1 species
GAUGAACGCUAGCUACAGGCUUAACACAUGCAAGUCGCGGGGCAGCAUGGGGGUUGCUUGCAACCCCUGAUGGCGACCGGCGCACGGGUGAGUAACGCGUAUCCAACCUGCCCUUCACCACGGGAUAACCCGGCGAAAGUCGGACUAAUACCGUACGUUUUCCAUUGACGGCAUCCGAUUUGGACGAAGGGCUUGGCGGUGAAAGGGUGGAGAUUCGGGCUAUUAGCUUGACGGUGGGGUAACGGCCCACCGUGGCGACGAUCGGUAGGGGUUCUGAGAGGAAGGUCCCCCACACUGGAACUGAGACACGGUCCAGACUCCUACGGGAGGCAGCAGUGAGGAAUAUUGGUCAAUGGGCGUAAGCCUGAACCAGCCAAGUAGCGUGCAGGAUGACGGCCCUAUGGGUUGUAAACUGCUUUUAUGCGGGGAUAAAGUGGCCCACGUGUGGGCUUUUGCAGGUACCGCAUGAAUAAGGACCGGCUAAUUCCGUG